ensembl:lncRNA
CUAAAAUCAUUUUUUAUAGUCUUCAGGCUUCUAUCAGUGACCACAUCACUGCCAGCCUUUUCUCACCUGGCACAUUAUGCUAGCUUCAGCCCUCCCAAGGUGUGAUUUUAGUCUCACAGCAAAGGGUUAAGGUCAAGCUCAAGAGAUUAAAAGUGAGCAGUGCCAGCUCCACCCCUGCUGGCUCAGCAGCCCACCCAUAAGCUACCAGAUGUCCUGUACUGGCCCAGUGCUUUUCCUGGCUUCAAAAAAGAUCUAAGAAGAGCUUUUUGGUCAGCUUUUUUGCUUUAGGUUCCUUAUCCAGUGCAGUCUUACCUUCCCUGAAGCUGGUCUCUGCAGCAAUGAAAUGUUUAUCAUGCUUCCUGUAUGUGUUGUAUCAAUUUUUUCAGCGAAACACCAGUAAAUAAAUGACUCAACUGAAGUUAAUAUCAGACCAUUUCUGGAGGUGUUUUUUUCACCUUAGCUCAGGUUCAGAAGAUCCUUUGAAGCAUGAAGAUUAAUAGACCUUUUGAAUAUGUUAUUUUGUAAGAAGCAUUAGGUGAAAAUGUAAGCUAUGUUUUCAAUCAAGGAAGAAAAAAACCCACAGUACCAAUUCUGUUUUUACUCAGAAAAGAGGAUAGAAAUGGAUUCAAUUAUCUAGUUUACAAAACUGACUAAAUUGAGGCACAGGCUCUGUUAGACUGACCAUAUCAUCCAGUUCUUGGAAUUCAUCAAGUUUCCAUAUGCUUUUUGGUUUACUUCUAAAUUCUGGGAUACAAAUCAAAAGUCAUCUUCUUUACAGGCAAUAAAAUUUUAGAUUACUUGAAAGUAUUCUUGCAUCUGUCCAAUACAUUUUGACAGAGUACUGGAACAGCUGCCCAGGGGGGUUGUGGAUUCUCCUCUGGAGAUAGUGAAGACCUGCUUGGACACCUACCUGUGCAGCCUGCUGUAGGGGGCUUGCUUUGCAGGGGGGCUGGACUUGAUGAUCUCUGCAGGUCCAUUCCAGCCCCUACAAUUCUGUGAUUUGGUACUAAGAUAACCCCAGUGAACUGCUUACAAAUUAUCAUGUAGAAUACAGCAAUUUUGGCAAAAAAAUGAGAUGAAAUUAACAAAAUCAAAUAUGGCAAUUUUAAGUUGUUCUCUUACCCAGUGCUGGAGAUGUUUUUAUGAGACCAGAUAAUAAUAUUAUUCCACACUAUGAAAUCUAUUUAAAAUUCAUACAGUGGAUAUCUAUGUCUUGUGAUUCUUAUAUGUUUUGAUGAAUUACUGAUUAUUCUUUACAUAUCAUUUAGAGGCUAGUCUGCUCAUUAUUUUAUUUCUUUUUCUGAGCUUGAAAGUGUUACAUUUUAAUAAUAUUUGCAGUGUAAAUGACUACAAUAAGGAGAAAAUGACAAGACUGGAUGAACUUUGUCAUUGGAGUUAGUGGUUUCAGGUCUCAGACCGUUAGAAAUCUGGGAGAAUAAAAAUGGCGCACUUUGAUAUAAUUCAUCCACUUAAAAGUUUAAUGUCAAAAUACAUAUGAAAUAAAUAAAUUUCAGAAAUAAAGGUUUAGUAAAAU